UAAGGGGCGGGUUCCGCCUGGGCCCCGCCUCCCUCCGCUGCCACUGCCAGCUGCUGCUGGCUCCGCUCUACUUCCGAUUCUGUCCGCCCGGCGCGCGUGGGUCACUCCGCUGUAAGGAGAAAUAGGAAUAGGAAAGUGGAAUCCAGUACUAAGGAAGAAAUUCUCCUUUGACUCAGGAUUCCAUAGUGGGAUGAUGAAGUUCUUCCUCUGAUGAUGAAGAUGAAGGUCCAAGAGGUUAGAUACCUUGCCCAAGAGCCAAAGCCAGGGUUUAAAUAUAGUGCCAAGAGGGGCAGGAUGGAGCGAAGCUGUCCCUAGAGCCUGCGGCCCGGGGAGGGUAACACGCCGCGCAGACGCCGGGAGACCAUGGAGGAUGCGACCAGGACCUUUGGGAAAGGAAGCUGCCCCCCGGGGCCCGUCCCAGAGGGCCUGAUCCGCGUCUACAGUAUGAGGUUCUGCCCCUUUGCGCACAGGACGCGCCUUGUCCUCCGGGCCAAAGGCAUCAGACAUGAAGUAAUCAACAUUAACCUGAGAAACAAGCCUGAAUGGUACUAUACAAAGCACCCUUUUGGCCAAAUUCCUGUCCUGGAGAACAGCAAAUGUCAGUUGAUCUAUGAAUCUGUCAUCGCCUGUGAGUACCUGGAUGAUGCUUAUCCUGGAAGGAAGCUGUAUCCAUAUGACCCUUAUGAGCGGGCUCGCCAGAAGAUGUUAUUGGAGCUAUUCUAUAAGGUCCCACAUUUGACCAAGGAGUGUCUGGUGGCCAUAAGAUGUGGGAGAGAAUGUGCUGAUCUGAAGCUAGCCCUGCGUCAGGAAUUCUGCAACCUUGAAGAGCUUUUACACAUAGGAAGUCGUCUACCCCUUCAGGAGAAAUGGAAAAUAUUCAUUUGUUUUUUUCACCCACGAUCCAUCACUUUAAAGAUUCUUGGCUAUCAGAACACCGUCUUCUUUGGUGGAGACUGUAUAUCCAUGAUCGAUUACCUCUUUUGGCCCUGGUUUGAGCGGCUGGAUGUGUAUGGAAUAGCUGACUGUUUGAACCACACGCCAGCUCUCCGGCUCUGGACAGCAGCCAUGAAGCAGGACCCCACAGUGUGCGCCCUUCUCAUAGAUAGGAGCAUUUUCCUGGGCUUCUUGAAUCUUUAUUUUCAGAACAACCCUGAUGCUUUUGAUUAUGGGCUAACUUGCUGAGUCUCAGUCUCCCCCUUCACAUCCAGAAUUCCCAAGCACGCCGUGACUCUACAUCAGGGAUUGUUUUGGCCUCUACCUUCUGAUGAUUCUCAAGAAAUCUCAAGUGCCCAGUGCCAAUGUCCAAGCACAUUUUGGGAGCCUGUGUGCCUCCUGGCUCCUUGGCCUUUGGCCCAGUUUGACCUCCAGAUCACUGGUGCUCAGGCUGAUGUGGAGGUUCAAGGCCUGCCCAUCAAUGAUGUUCAUCACUACGGAUUGGGCCCCUCCACAACCUCCCUGGAGAGAGGAAAGCUGGAGAAGAGGAAGAGGGAAACACUCCAGGCCCAAAUACUCUCCAUUUGGCAACUGAAAGCUGCUGUCCACAUGGGCAUGCAUGCGUAUCAUUCUUGUUCACACUUUGGCGCUGGCCUGGGAGACACCGAGGGUCUUGUGACUAAAAAAAUCCUGAAGCAGGAAACGAAACACCCGCUGUUCCCCUAGACCGACUACGUCAGAAUUUCACCGGUGCUGUCAGGGUUCAGGAUGGCUCACAGAAUGUUCUAUAGCCAACAUCCUGCCUUGAAAAAAUAAACAACGCCCCAAACCCAGUCACAGGCAAAGGUCACUUGGUUGCAUUUGCGUCAUAUACACUUUCACUUGGUCUCAACAGAUGCCUCUGGUUGCCUGCUGUGUACCAAGCCCUGGGCCAUGUGGGGGCGAAAGAUGACAAAAACACAGGAGCCCCUGGUCAUUCCAUUCAUCUUGGUGGAGGCUGUAGACUUCGUGCUUUGGAGCUGGUUCUCUGGCAGUGGGAACGCUUGUCUUGGCCCCAUAUGGCACCUCGACUGGCUCUGCCCAGCACUGCUCACGACCGAGGGUGACCGGGAGUGCCGGCAGGAACCGGACGCUGGCAGCUUCUAUCACUUACCCCAUAGGAGUGGGACAGGGCUGUCCGAUGCCAUCUUAUCUCCAGGUCUGGGGAUCAGCCUGUCAUCAUUUCAGCUCUGUUCAUGCUGAACCUCUUCUUAGCUUCCCAGCCAUGGCGAAAGACCAGGCAGUAGUGGGAGUGAUGUUGUGACUUGUCGGUGCCCACUGAGCUGUCUGCAGCCCCUGCCUCUGACUCAGCCCAGCCAGCCCUGUUUCUCCCCACGUCUCAGCCCAGCCCGGCCAUCUGCUGCCUCUGGGUGGAUUUUGACUCAUGUCAAUAGCUACCGGUGUGGCUCUGAGCCAGCUGGACAGACGCAAGCCUGCUUUGGUGAGGUGGCCCGAUCUGCCAGAACGGGCGCCACGUGACGGGGGCAGUCUGCUCAGGAUGGGGCGCCCUGUUGCCAUGGCACCUGAGCCAGAACAGAGCAAAGUCUGCAAGUCACAUUUUCCUGGAUCUUUGCUUGGCCCCUGUGGCCUCUCCUAGGACUCGGGGACUGAUCUGACUUUGCAGGUGUAAAAUCCUGUGUGUUGGCAAGUAUUUGGCGUGAGACCAAAAUUGCUGUUGACACAACAGAUAAUGGCAUGUCUCUGGAUGACCAAAACCAAAGAUGUUCUCUUUGGGGCUCUACAUACUAAUUUAGGAAGCUUGCAAAACCAAGAAACACAAGAUGAGAAAAGUGCUUGUGGGGAGAGGUUGCAGGCUGGUGGCCCACAGCCCAGUUUGGGAGGUGAAUGCUUUUCGGCCAGGCAUGCUCUCUGCAGUUUGCUGGGGUCACCUGCACUGCCUUCCACGUCUUCCUUCUCCUAUAUGCCACCCGUCUGCCCCACAGAGGAAUCAGUUAACCUCUGGAUAAAAGUGUAAGGAUUUAGCCUGGAGAAGAGAGGCAGUUAAAUAAUACUCCACAAGGAGCUUUUAAAAUACCAUGUCUUUCAUUGCAGGAGAGGGCAGAAAUAAUAUAUUAGGGCUUUUUAAAAAAUGCAACAAUGAAAAUAGGAAUUCUUCCACCAUCUCGUGUUGCAGAGAUAACCGCUUUUAACAAUUGGUGUAUAUCUUAUAAAAAGCAUGUCGAACUUACAGAUUUAAGCUGAAAGCUGUUCUCUAUGUCCUGCGGUGUGGAAAAAGAGAAAAAUAGUUUGAAAGAGCCUCAUUGUCAUACAUGAGGUUAACAUCCGAAUCCUUGACCAGAGGAGGUCCUGUGAAGCUCCCGUCCCUAGUGGUUCUGAACU